rnacentral:rRNA from 1 species
GUGCCAGCCGCCGCGGUAAUACGGAGGAUCCAAGCGUUAUCCGGAUUUAUUGGGUUUAAAGGGUGCGUAGGCGGCUUAUUAAGUCAGGGGUGAAAGACGGUAGCUUAACUAUCGCAGUGCCUUUGAUACUGAUGAGCUUGAAUCUACUUGAGGUAGGCGGAAUGUGACAAGUAGCGGUGAAAUGCAUAGAUAUGUCACAGAACACCAAUUGCGAAGGCAGCUUACUAAAGUAGCAUUGACGCUGAGGCACGAAAGCGUGGGGAUCAAACAGGAUUAGAUACCCUGGUAGUCC